UUAGUGGCGAACGGGUGAGUAACACGUGAGUAACCUGCCCCUGACUCUGGGAUAAGCCCGGGAAACUGGGUCUAAUACCGGAUAUGACUUUUGACCGCAUGGUUGAGGGUGGAAAGAUUUAUCGGUUGGGGAUGGACUCGCGGCCUAUCAGCUUGUUGGUGAGGUAAUGGCUCACCAAGGCGACGACGGGUAGCCGGCCUGAGAGGGUGACCGGCCACACUGGGACUGAGACACGGCCCAGACUCCUACGGGAGGCAGCAGUGGGGAAUAUUGCACAAUGGGCGCAAGCCUGAUGCAGCGACGCCGCGUGAGGGAUGACGGCCUUCGGGUUGUAAACCUCUUUCAGUAGGGAAGAAGCGAGAGUGACGGUACCUGCAGAAGAAGCGCCGGCUAACUACGUGCCAGCAGCCGCGGUAAUACGUAGGGCGCAAGCGUUAUCCGGAUUUAUUGGGCGUAAAGAGCUCGUAGGCGGUUUGUCGCGUCUAUCGUGAAAGUCCGAGGCUCAACCUCGGAUCUGCGGUGGGUACGGGCAGACUAGAGUGAUGUAGGGGAGACUGGAAUUCCUGGUGUAGCGGUGAAAUGCGCAGAUAUCAGGAGGAACACCGAUGGCGAAGGCAGGUCUCUGGGCAUUUACUGACGCUGAGGAGCGAAAGCAUGGGGAGCGAACAGGAUUAGAUACCCUGGUAGUCCAUGCCGUAAACGUUGGGCACUAGGUGUGGGGGACAUUCCACGUUUUCCGCGCCGUAGCUAACGCAUUAAGUG
rnacentral:rRNA from 1 species